rnacentral:rRNA from 1 species
GCGAGGAAUAUUGCGCAAUGGAGGAAACUCUGACGCAGUAACGCCGCGUGGGGGAAGAAGACCUUCGGGUUGUAAACCUCUUUUUGUGAAGACGAGUGAGGACGGUAUUCAUAGAAUAAGUCUCGGCUAACUACGUGCCAGCAGCCGCGGUAAGACGUAGGAGGCGAGCGUUAUCCGGAUUUACUGGGCGUAAAGCGCAUGUAGGCGGCUCGUCAAGUCGUGUGUUAAAGCCCCUGGCUCAACUGGGGGAGGUCAUGCGAGACUGGCGGACUUGAGGACAGUAGAGGCACGUGGAACUCCCGGUGUAGCGGUGGAAUGCGUAGAGAUCGGGAAGAACACCCGUGGCGAAGGCGACGUGCUGGGCUGUUACUGACGCUGAGAUGCGAAAGUGUGGGGAGCAAACGGGAUUAGAAACCCCAGUAGUCC